rnacentral:rRNA from 1 species
AUUAAACGCUGGCGGCAUGCCUUACACAUGCAAGUCGAACGGCAGCACGGGGGCGAACCCUGGUGGGCGAGUGGCGGACGGGUGAGUAAUGCAUCGGAACGUGCCCUGAAGUGGGGGAGUAACGCAGCGAAAGCUACGCUAAUACCGCAUAUUCUGUGAGCAGGAAAGCAGGGGAGUCGCAAGACCUUGCGCUUUGGGAGCGGCCGAUGUCGGAUUAGCUAGUUGGUGGGGUAAAGGCCUACCAAGGCGACGAUCCGUAGCGGGUCUGAGAGGACGAUCCGCCACACUGGGACUGGGACACGGCCCAGACUCCUACGGGAGGCAGCAGUGGGGGAAUUUUGGACAAUGGGCGGAAGCCUGAUCCAGCCAUGCCGCGUGAGUGAAGAAGGCC